CUGGAUCCUUAACCCACUGAGCAAGGCCGGAGAUCAAACCCAUGUCCUCAUGGAUCCUAGUCGAGUUUGUUACUGCUGAGCCACAACAGGGGCUCCAGAAAAAGGCCUUUUUAAUCACUUCUUCCAUUAAGUCAUUUUGGAGAAGAACUAGGGCCAAAGUAGGGAUCUUAAUCUGGCAGCUGUAUGUUCCAUGUGGGUAAAUUGUCAUGGAGCCCAGAGUUUCCACAUGGGCCCUUAAACUUUUCUUGUGCCAUUAAUCCCUUUGGCAGUCUGGUCAAGCACAAGAAUCUCUCCUCAAAAUAAUGUUUUAAAGUUAGUACUAUGCCUAUUAUAUAGCAAUUAAAAGUUGUGAUACCUUUAUGGUUUUUGUUUUUUUUUAACACGUUGUAUAAUACUGUCUAGGACAGGAAUAACUACCAUACUAUGUAGUGUUGAAGGGAAAUGAUACUGCAACUACAUAACAUGACUUGUGUCUGAUUUCUUUUGGUGGUAAGCCCACAGAUAUUGUUGAUACUGCUGUGGUUUAUGGCCUAUACUGAUAACUGAAAGAACUGGUAGGUUUCAAGUAGUGAUUAGUUAAAAUGAAGGUGUAAUUUUUUGUGGGUCCUUUGAUUUCUUUUCAUGGGUCACUUGGGGGUCCUAAGACCCCUAGUUAGGAAACUCUGUAGUUUAGCAAUUACUAAGAAGCCCCAGGAAGUAAAGGAAUGAACAGGGUGGUUCACCUUACCAAAUAAUCUAAUUUUAUCUUGUUUUAUCUAUCAGAAUUUCACAUAAGAUUUCAUUUGAAAUAGAAAUGGUUUCUGGGGCUAAAUGUGUAAUUUUGAAAACAAUUGUAAACAAAAAAAUAUUGAUUCUUUAUCUUACUUUUUAACUUAAAACUUAACUUCCUUUAUAAACAUUCUCAGCAUGUUAGUGUACCAUCAAGUUUAUAACCCCGAAAAUAGAGAUUUAGAAGUCAACAGGAAAUAGUGGAAGGCGUGGAACACCAAUAAGACUGCCCAGCAAUAAUCCGUGUGAGUGUAGCCUGAGAUGAACAGGCUAAGGAGUAGUGAAGAAGAAGCAAAGCCCCGGAAAGAAGACAGAGAAGGAGCUGUCAGAGAGGUAGGAGAAGAACAUUUCCGUAACAUUAAAGAAGCAAAGGAUGUCAGUACUGUGGAGAUGUCAUAGACGAUGACCAAAAAGAAUCCAGCAAACUUAAGCAGGAGGUGAGUGACCUUUCCUAUGGCAUUUUCAGCAGAGUGAGGUGGGCAGAUGCCAGAAUGAAAUGGCCUGAAGAGUGAAUAAGAGAUGAGGUGAAGACAGUGUGGUAUAGACCGGUGCUUUUCAAAUGAAUGUGGUGAAACAGUAUCUGUAGUUUCCAAUCUGUUGAAAACUGACCGCAGUCCUGCCAUGCAUGUCUGGCGUGCCACUUACACCAUAUGUUAGGUACCCUAAGAACUGGAUGACAGCCAAACUGAUCUAGACUCUCUCAAGACAGGUCCACUGAUGACAGGCUUGAAUGUCAUGGCCAUGUCACAUUGCUAUUCAAAUUUCUAAAUGCUUAUUCUUAAUUCUGUAUUGUAGUCUAGGUGCAGACUAUUCUUUCAAAAAGCUUACCUGUCAAGGAAGAGAAAGAAUAGCCCCUACUCUAUGGGGCUGACUUGUAGGAUUGAGAGAAGGUUUCUGCCAAUAUUAUUUCUUGCAACUUCCUCCUCUGAAUAUCUCCCGAUGUUCUUCAUGCUUCACAUUCUUUUCAGCCCCAACUUUGGAGCUCUAAUACCUAAAAUAGUUCCCUGAUACAUAGAAAGCAUUUAAAUUAAAAGAUUAUUAAGUGAAAAUUCAUGUGAACUGUGGAAGAUCUAAGUGGUCCUGUGUUUCCAGAUUUUACAUUUAAUCUCUGGAUAUUUAUUUUGCCUGUGGUCAGGGAAUUGUCAGGGAGACGAUAAUUUUCACAGUUUUUGAGUGCGUUCAAUCACUACCCCCUGUUUUCAAAGAGGACAUCACUUACUCUUACUUAGUAGGACCUGUGCUUUGAGGGGUUUUGUUUGUUUUUUCAAAAUUGGGAGUGAAUAUAUCUCUUGCUUUGCCUCCUCUCCCCUCUUGGAGGACAGUUAUUAACAAAAUACUGGUCAGAUUUGGGUCUGUAUCAUGACCACAGAAUAAAGAGAACUGAAUUGACUGGCACAGAGCUCAAACCCAAGAGAAUAAUUUAACAGAAAGGACUUUGGUUUUCCACAAAACUCUUUACUUUCCUCUUUCUCUAAAGGGAGUGAUUUUCAAAUCUCCUCAUAUUUUUCUCAUCUACAGCAUUGCCCAUAGCCCACACAGAGGAACUCAAAUUUGUACCUGGAAAAAUGAGAAUUCUAAUCUAAAAUGUGGGCGAUAUGAAUAGGAACCAAAGAAAAGUGGACAAUUUCUGUCAUUCAGGCAGCAGACCUUUACUGAAUGCUUAAUAUGUGCCAGACACAUAUGUGCCAGAAACUUUAUGUAGGCUCGGGGGCUACAAGCUCUACAUCAAGAUGAGAGAAGGAAGAUCCAAAUAAAGAUUUACGGACCUUACUGUCUGCAGUAUUCCUGGACCAAAGUCGGUGAAACUAGGAAGAUUCUCUGAAUUCUGCGGUCUCGAGGACUGUCCUAAAAGAGAUGGCAGGACCACAAGAUGGGACCACAAGAUACUGAGUUCCUGAGUAUCUGCAUAUAUCAGAGACUCCACCCUCAGACUCUCUUCCGUUGCCAAACACACUUUGCCUAAGUAAGAAAUAAAUCCUGUGAGGUUGCACCAUU